rnacentral:rRNA from 1 species
UUUUUAUGGAGAGUUUGAUCCUGGCUCAGGAUGAACGCUGGCGGCGUGCCUAAUACAUGCAAGUCGAGCGAACAGAUGAGGAGCUUGCUCCUCUGACGUUAGCGGCGGACGGGUGAGUAACACGUGGAUAACCUACCUAUAAGACUGGGAUAACUACGGGAAACCGGAGCUAAUACCGGAUAAUAUAUUGAACCGCAUGGUUCAAUAGUGAAAGACGGUUUUGCUGUCACUUAUAGAUGGAUCCGCGCCGCAUUAGCUAGUUGGUAAGGUAACGGCUUACCAAGGCAACGAUGCGUAGCCGACCUGAGAGGGUGAUCGGCCACACUGGAACUGAGACACGGUCCAGACUCCUACGGGAGGCAGCAGUAGGGAAUCUUCCGCAAUGGGCGAAAGCCUGACGGAGCAACGCCGCGUGAGUGAUGAAGGUCUUCGGAUCGUAAAACUCUGUUAUUAGGGAAGAACAAAUGUGUAAGUAACUAUGCACGUCUUGACGGUACCUAAUCAGAAAGUCACGGCUAACUACGUGCCAGCAGCCGCGGUAAUACGUAGGUGGCAAGCG